rnacentral:sRNA from 1 species
CUACCUCGCUGGGACCCGGGUCUUGCUGUCCCCUGCUGGCCUCCUGCCCAAGCGACUGCGGCCAGGAUGGGCCGGAAGGUGACCGUGGCCACCUGCGCACUCAACCAGUGGGCCCUUGACUUCGAGGGCAAUUUGCAAAGGAUUUUAAAGAGUAUUGAAAGUGCCAAAAACAGAGGAGCAAGAUACAGGCUUGGACCAGAGCUGGAAAUAUGCGGCUACGGAUGUUGGGAUCAUUAUUACGAGUCGGACACCCUCUUGCACUCGUUUCAAGUCCUAGCGGCCCUUCUGGAGUCUCCCGUCACUCAGGACAUCAUCUGCGACGUGGGGAUGCCUGUAAUGCACCGGAACGUCCGCUACAACUGCAGAGUGAUAUUCCUCAACAGGAAGAUCCUGCUCAUCAGACCCAAGAUGGCCUUGGCCAACGAAGGCAACUACCGUGAGCUGCGCUGGUUCACCCCGUGGUCGAGGAGUCGGUGAGUUGGGUGUCUGACCGCUCCUGGGAUGUGCAUUAAGCACCUCCGCUGUGUGUAGCCUUGGGUCCUGAUCAUGGGAGUGUUACUGGUGGAGGGUGUCCAGGUUCUUGACAUUUUGAACAAAGAAUGGGACAAGAAGCACAAACAAAGCAAAAAAAGAAUGAAGCAACCAAAGGAGAGAGUGAUUGAAAAUGAAAGCCCUCUCCACAGGGUGGGCGUGGUCCCAGCAGGGGCUCAGGGCGCGGUUACACAGUGUUCUGGGGUUUACAUAUCCUCUAGAGGCUUCCCAUCGGUUACUUGGUAUGCGCCCCAUGUAAAUGAAGAGGCUGAAGUGAAGUUACAAAGUUAUUUACUUGGUGUACGCAC